rnacentral:lncRNA from 1 species
GUAGAAAUAGUUAAUAUUUUUUUUAAGAUGGAAAUUAAAAGAGACUCUGAACUGUUAAUAGAAAUUAUUUCUGUAACAACCUUCUAAUAAGUUUUGUUUGUUUUUCUUUAACAAUAGUAAAGAUGCAAAUGCAGUGAUCCCAGUGAUCACUCUAGGUCUACUUUUCUGCCUUCCUUUCCAAACCAUUAAAUGGCAGAGGAAAAUAUGUUCUGGGAGCCAGAAGUGUAGCUGGAGAAGAGGGUUUCACAGGGGAACUGUCACUUCAGUUUUACAUAGCUGGACUCUCACCUCCAGAGCAAGCAACAUGGUGCGUCCACUUUGCUGUCCCUGGCAUGUGUUACACAGAGUCACAGAAUCAUAGAAUGCUGUUGUUUGUUAUCUUUGUUAUCCCCAGCGCAGUUUUGGCUCAUCUUCUGCGGCUGUAAUCUGUAAUUUUGACUAAUGACUGACCACUAGUAAGUAGCACGGUUCAGUUUAUAACCUUUGGGUCUUGGUUAGCAAUCUAUGAUCGUACAUAGAGGGCUCCCGCUAUUAUCCCACAUCUGUAUUCACCUACAUUGUGCUUUAUGCUGCAGUCAAAUGUAGUUCAUUCUGCGCAUGAUGAAUAGUUGCAAUCACUUGUCAUGUCCUACAAAACUUGUGUAUAAAAGGAGAUGUUACAGCAUAUACUGGUACUAAGCUAAAGACAAGCUAAAACAAAUUUGGCAGUAAUCACUAGUGCGUUGGCUGCUGUUACAAGCUAAAUCAGUUUCAGACUGUUGAAGACAAGCCUAGACAACAUCUGAUACAUCCUGAGGCCCACAGAGCUCAAUAACGGGCUGGUACCAGGUAUAAGCAGUGUUUAUUGGAAUACAGGGUUGCAAACCCCUUUCAUGUAAUUAUUUCUGAAGCAUAUGUGCCUGUAAAAGAGGAAAAUAGAAAGUGUUUUGUUAUUGUUCUUGCUUUCUGUGAUCUUGUCUUAUCUUGUGCUAUUAAGCCCACUUAAUAACAUGGUUUGUAAUAAAAAUCUUC